rnacentral:rRNA from 1 species
AGAGUUUGAUCCUGGCUCAGGAUGAACGCUGGCGGCGUGCCUAAUACAUGCAAGUCGAGCGAACAGAUAAGGAGCUUGCUCCUUUGAAGUUAGCGGCGGACGGGUGAGUAACACGUGGGUAACCUACCUAUAAGACUGGGAUAACUUCGGGAAACCGGAGCUAAUACCGGAUAAUAUUUAGAACCGCAUGGUUCUAAAGUGAAAGAUGGUUUUGCUAUCACUUAUAGAUGGACCCGCGCCGUAUUAGCUAGUUGGUAAGGUAACGGCUUACCAAGGCGACGAUACGUAGCCGACCUGAGAGGGUGAUCGGCCACACUGGAACUGAGACACGGUCCAGACUCCUACGGGAGGCAGCAGUAGGGAAUCUUCCGCAAUGGGCGAAAGCCUGACGGAGCAACGCCGCGUGAGUGAUGAAGGGUUUCGGCUCGUAAAACUCUGUUAUUAGGGAAGAACAAAUAUGUAAGUAACUGUGCACAUCUUGACGGUACCUAAUCAGAAAGCCACGGCUAACUACGUG